GGUACGCUGGGCCAGUACGGUGGAUGACCAGCGGAGGGAUAUUACCGAGUUUACAACUCCCAAACCCAAUGUGAACGUUACCAAACUGUUGCCUCGGCGGGAUCUCUGCCCCGGGUGCGUCGCAGCCCCGGACCAAGGCGCCCGCCGGAGGACCAACCAAAACUCUUAUUGUAUACCCCCUCGCGGGUUUUUUUAUAAUCUGAGCCUUCUCGGCGCCUCUCGUAGGCGUUUCGAAAAUGAAUCAAAACUUUCAACAACGGAUCUCUUGGUUCUGGCAUCGAUGAAGAACGCAGCGAAAUGCGAUAAGUAAUGUGAAUUGCAGAAUUCAGUGAAUCAUCGAAUCUUUGAACGCACAUUGCGCCCGCCAGUAUUCUGGCGGGCAUGCCUGUCCGAGCGUCAUUUCAACCCUCUAACCCCUCCGGGGGGUCGGCGUUGUUGAUCAUGCCUGCCAUUUGAUAGGACUAUUCCCAUUUAAAUAGCUCUUCCAAUCUCAACAACUACGGAUUAAUAGGUUAUGAUGAUUUAUAACAAGCCGCUUUGGUGAAAUCAGUACACAAUUUCUCCGGUUCCCUAAGGUUUCUGAGUUGUUAUAUAGGGAUUUUUGUUUACUUUAAAGAGUAACCUUUUCUUAUAAAAAAAAAAAUGAAUCAUUUUUUUUCCAAUCAAUAUUUUUUGGGAAAAAAAUUUUUCUUGGAAAAUCAAAAUAUAUCCUUAAAAACUUUCUCAAAACGGCUUUGGAAUAUUUCCCGAUUCCUUAAAAAACAAAAAAUUUUGAAGGUUUUAUAAAAAUCUGGCCUUUGGAAUCCUUCUUUCAAUCUCGACGAUAAAUAAAAAAAGGGCUAUUUUGAUUUUAAACAGCCGCUAGGGGAAAUGGAACUCCCCCUUU
rnacentral:misc_RNA from 1 species